GAUGAACGCUGGCGGCGUGCCUAAUACAUGCAAGUCGAGCGAAUGGAUUAAGAGCUUGCUCUUAUGAAGUUAGCGGCGGACGGGUGAGUAACACGUGGGUAACCUGCCCAUAAGACUGGGAUAACUCCGGGAAACCGGGGCUAAUACCGGAUAACAUUUUGAACCGCAUGGUUCGAAAUUGAAAGGCGGCUUCGGCUGUCACUUAUGGAUGGACACGCGUCGCAUUAGCUAGUUGGUGAGGUAACGGCUCACCAAGGCAACGAUGCGUAGCCGACCGGAGAGGGUGAUCGGCCACACUGGGACUGAGAAACGGCCCAGACUCCUACGGGAGGCAGCAGUAGGGAAUCUGCCGCAAUGGACGAAAGUCUGACGGAGCAACGCCGCGUGAGUGAUGAAGGCUUUCGGGUCGUAAAACUCUGUUGUUAGGGAAGAACAAGUGCUAGUUGAAUAAGCUGGCACCUUGACGGUACCUAACCAGAAAGCCACGGCUAACUACGUGCCAGCCGCCGCCGUAA
rnacentral:rRNA from 1 species